UGCAUUUUAUAAUCAUGCAUGAAUCAUGAUAUGAGGUAAGACGGGGAGGUUUUGCACAGGGCGGAGAAAGAAACGAUAACAACGGUCAUAAUCAGUCUGGAUGGACCAGGUGUAAUUCUGCAUCGCCAAUCGGAAGAGGCGAAGAAGUUGUACAUGUAUUGAGCUUUUUAUCGUCACCACCCAUCAGAGUUUGUCAUGGACACCACAGGUUGGUGUAGGCCUAGGCCUACAUGUACAUCAUGCAUUAUCAUGAUGAUUGGCUUACUUUCAACAGUUGUUCUUUCAGGAUAUUCUGUCGCCGUAACAAUUCCGCCUUAUUCAUAUGGUGACCAAGGACAUUCUGCUACUAUCAACUGCAGCUACAAAGUCACAGAAAGUAAUUAUUCAUUAAGUCGGAUCCAGUGGAGGAAAGGUGAUGCAGAUUUUGCGUCAGCAACUACGAUUGCUACAUUUGUCAAUGGCCUGGGUGCAACUCCAACAUACCCAAUAGGAGACAGCAAGUAUGCAAUGUCCAUUGACUCUGUAGACAGUAGUAACAUCUUGACUGUUAACUCGCUGCAGUACUCAAACGAUGGAGGAAAAUACUGGUGCUUCGUUUUGUUUCAAAGAACUGGUUAUGCCAACAAGAACGGUAUGGACUCAACUUUGCUUUCUGUUGUUGGUAAGUACACAUUUGUCU